UACGGAGGGGGCGAGCGUUAUUCGGAAUUAUUGGGCGUAAAGGGCGCGUAGGCGGCGCGAUAAGUCAAAGGUGAAAUCCCUCGGCUCAACUGAGGAACUGCCUUUGAAACUGCAAGGCUUGAGGCCGGGAGGGGGUAGGCGGAAUUCCCAAUGUAGCGGUGAAAUGCGUAGAUAUUGGGAGGAACACCAGUGGCGAAGGCGGCUACCUGGACCGGUUCUGACGCUGAGGCGCGAAAGCGUGGGUAGCAAACAGG
rnacentral:rRNA from 1 species